rnacentral:misc_RNA from 1 species
GAAAUGCGAUAAGUAGUGUGAAUUGCAGAAUUCAGUGAAUCAUCGAAUCUUUGAACGCACAUUGCGCCCUUUGGUAUUCCUUAGGGCAUGCCUGUUCGAGCGUCAUUUGUAACCUCAAGCUCAGCUUGGUGUUGGGUGUCUGUCCCCGCCCCGCGCGGGGACUCGCCUCAAAAACAUUGGCGGCCGGUACGUUGGCUUCGAGCGCAACAGAAACGCGAACUCGAGGCCCGACGGAUCGGCGACCAGAAGUCACUUCUUCCACAGCUUGACCUCGGAUCAGGUAGGGAUACCCGCUGAACUUAAGC